rnacentral:rRNA from 1 species
GACGAACGCUGGCGGCGUGCUUAACACAUGCAAGUCGAACGGAAAGGCCCUGCUUUUGUGGGGUGCUCGAUAGGCGAACGGGUGAGUAUCACGUGAGUAACCUCCCCUUGACUUUCGGAUAACUUCACGAAACUGGGGCUCAUACCGGAUAGGAUCUCCUGCUCCAUGGUGGGGGUUGGAAAGUUUCGGCGGUUGGGGAUGGUCUGGCAGCUUAUCAGCUUGUUGGUCGAGUAGUUGCUUACCAAGGCUGUGACGGAUAGCCGGCCUGAGAGGGUUACCGGCCUCAAUGGGCCUGAGAUACGGCCCAGAAUCCUACGGGAGGCAGCAGGGGGGAAUAUGGCAGAAUGGGCGGAAGCCUGAUGCAGCAACGCCGCGUGCGGGAUGACGGGCUUCGGGUUGAAAACAGCUUUCGCCUUUGACGAAGCGUGAGUGACGGUAAUGGGUAAAGAAGCACCGGCUAACUACGUG